GCUGGGUGUGCUGAUGGGCGCCUGUAAUCCCAGCUACUUGGGAGGCUGAGGCAGGAGAAUUGCUUGAACCCGGGAAGCGGAGGUUGCAGUGAGCCAAGAUUGCGCCACUGCACUCCAGCCUGGGUGACAGAGCAAUACUCUGUCUCAA
rfam:Pan troglodytes isolate Yerkes chimp pedigree #C0471 (Clint) chromosome 2A, whole genome shotgun sequence.